rnacentral:rRNA from 1 species
UUAAGCGACUAAGCGUACACGGUGGAUGCCCUGGCAGUCAGAGGCGAUGAAGGACGUGCUAAUCUGCGAUAAGCGUCGGUAAGGUGAUAUGAACCGUUAUAACCGGCGAUUUCCGAAUGGGGAAACCCAGUGUGUUUCGACACACUAUCAUUAACUGAAUCCAUAGGUUAAUGAGGCGAACCGGGGGAACUGAAACAUCUAAGUACCCCGAGGAAAAGAAAUCAACCGAGAUUCCCCCAGUAGCGGCGAGCGAACGGGGAGGAGCCCAGAGCCUGAAUCAGUGUGUGUGUUAGUGGAAGCGUCUGGAAAGGCGCGCGAUACAGGGUGACAGCCCCGUACACAAAAAUGCACAUGCUGUGAGCUCGAUGAGUAGGGCGGGACACGUGGUAUCCUGUCUGAAUAUGGGGGGACCAUCCUCCAAGGCUAAAUACUCCUGACUGACCGAUAGUGAACCAGUACCGUGAGGGAAAGGCGAAAAGAACCCCGGCGAGGGGAGUGAAAAAGAACCUGAAACCGUGUACGUACAAGCAGUGGGAGCACGCUUAGGCGUGUGACUGCGUACCUUUUGUAUAAUGGGUCAGCGACUUAUAUUCUGUAGCAAGGUUAACCGAAUAGGGGAGCCGAAGGGAAACCGAGUCUUAACUGGGCGUUAAGUUGCAGGGUAUAGACCCGAAACCCGGUGAUCUAGCCAUGGGCAGGUUGAAGGUUGGGUAACACUAACUGGAGGACCGAACCGACUAAUGUUGAAAAAUUAGCGGAUGACUUGUGGCUGGGGGUGAAAGGCCAAUCAAACCGGGAGAUAGCUGGUUCUCCCCGAAAGCUAUUUAGGUAGCGCCUCGUGAAUUCAUCUCCGGGGGUAGAGCACUGUUUCGGCAAGGGGGUCAUCCCGACUUACCAACCCGAUGCAAACUGCGAAUACCGGAGAAUGUUAUCACGGGAGACACACGGCGGGUGCUAACGUCCGUCGUGAAGAGGGAAACAACCCAGACCGCCAGCUAAGGUCCCAAAGUCAUGGUUAAGUGGGAAACGAUGUGGGAAGGCCCAGACAGCCAGGAUGUUGGCUUAGAAGCAGCCAUCAUUUAAAGAAAGCGUAAUAGCUCACUGGUCGAGUCGGCCUGCGCGGAAGAUGUAACGGGGCUAAACCAUGCACCGAAGCUGCGGCAGCGACGCUUAUGCGUUGUUGGGUAGGGGAGCGUUCUGUAAGCCUGUGAAGGUGUGCUGUGAGGCAUGCUGGAGGUAUCAGAAGUGCGAAUGCUGACAUAAGUAACGAUAAAGCGGGUGAAAAGCCCGCUCGCCGGAAGACCAAGGGUUCCUGUCCAACGUUAAUCGGGGCAGGGUGAGUCGACCCCUAAGGCGAGGCCGAAAGGCGUAGUCGAUGGGAAACAGGUUAAUAUUCCUGUACUUGGUGUUACUGCGAAGGGGGGACGGAGAAGGCUAUGUUGGCCGGGCGACGGUUGUCCCGGUUUAAGCGUGUAGGCUGGUUUUCCAGGCAAAUCCGGAAAAUCAAGGCUGAGGCGUGAUGACGAGGCACUACGGUGCUGAAGCAACAAAUGCCCUGCUUCCAGGAAAAGCCUCUAAGCAUCAGGUAACAUCAAAUCGUACCCCAAACCGACACAGGUGGUCAGGUAGAGAAUACCAAGGCGCUUGAGAGAACUCGGGUGAAGGAACUAGGCAAAAUGGUGCCGUAACUUCGGGAGAAGGCACGCUGAUAUGUAGGUGAAGCGACUUGCUCGUGGAGCUGAAAUCAGUCGAAGAUACCAGCUGGCUGCAACUGUUUAUUAAAAACACAGCACUGUGCAAACACGAAAGUGGACGUAUACGGUGUGACGCCUGCCCGGUGCCGGAAGGUUAAUUGAUGGGGUCAGCGCAAGCGAAGCUCUUGAUCGAAGCCCCGGUAAACGGCGGCCGUAACUAUAACGGUCCUAAGGUAGCGAAAUUCCUUGUCGGGUAAGUUCCGACCUGCACGAAUGGCGUAAUGAUGGCCAGGCUGUCUCCACCCGAGACUCAGUGAAAUUGAACUCGCUGUGAAGAUGCAGUGUACCCGCGGCAAGACGGAAAGACCCCGUGAACCUUUACUAUAGCUUGACACUGAACAUUGAGCCUUGAUGUGUAGGAUAGGUGGGAGGCUUAGAAGUGUGGACGCCAGUCUGCAUGGAGCCGACCUUGAAAUACCACCCUUUAAUGUUUGAUGUUCUAACGUGGACCCGUAAUCCGGGUUGCGGACAGUGUCUGGUGGGUAGUUUGACUGGGGCGGUCUCCUCCUAAAGAGUAACGGAGGAGCACGAAGGUUGGCUAAUCCUGGUCGGACAUCAGGAGGUUAGUGCAAUGGCAUAAGCCAGCUUGACUGCGAGCGUGACGGCGCGAGCAGGUGCGAAAGCAGGUCAUAGUGAUCCGGUGGUUCUGAAUGGAAGGGCCAUCGCUCAACGGAUAAAAGGUACUCCGGGGAUAACAGGCUGAUACCGCCCAAGAGUUCAUAUCGACGGCGGUGUUUGGCACCUCGAUGUCGGCUCAUCACAUCCUGGGGCUGAAGUAGGUCCCAAGGGUAUGGCUGUUCGCCAUUUAAAGUGGUACGCGAGCUGGGUUUAGAACGUCGUGAGACAGUUCGGUCCCUAUCUGCCGUGGGCGCUGGAGAACUGAGGGGGGCUGCUCCUAGUACGAGAGGACCGGAGUGGACGCAUCACUGGUGUUCGGGUUGUCAUGCCAAUGGCACUGCCCGGUAGCUAAAUGCGGAAGAGAUAAGUGCUGAAAGCAUCUAAGCACGAAACUUGCCCCGAGAUGAGUUCUCCCUGACCCCUUAAGAGUCCUGAAGGAACGUUGAAGACGACGACGUUGAUAGGCCGGGUGUGUAAGCGCAGCGAUGCGUUGAGCUAACCGGUACUAAUGAACCGUGAGGCUUAACCUU